rnacentral:snRNA from 1 species
GUGCUUGCUUCAGCACACAAAAUUGGAAUGAUAUAGGGAAGAUUAGUAUGGCCCCUGCUCAAGGAUGAGACACAAAUUUGUGAAGUGUUUCAUAUUAAA